AGCCGCGGUAAUUCCAGCUCCAAUAGCGUAUAUUAAAGUUGUUGCAGUUAAAAAGCUCGUAGUUGAAUUUCGGGAUUGACACAUCGGUCGUGCCUUAAGGGGUAUGAACUGGUGUAGUCAAUUUCUCACCUUCUGGAGAACCGCAAUGCCCUUAAUUGGGUGUCGCGGGGAACCAGGACCUUUACUUUGAAAAAAUUAGAGUGUUUAAAGCAGGCAUUUUGCUUGAAUACAUUAGCAUGGAAUAAUAAAAUAGGACGGAUGAUUCUAUUUUGUUGGUUUCUAGGACCACCGUAAUGAUUAAUAGGGAGAGUUGGGGGCAUUAGUAUUCAAUUGUCAGAGGUGAAAUUCUUGGAUUUAUUGAAGACUAACUACUGCGAAAGCAUUUGCCAAGGAUGUUUUCAUUAAUCAAGAACGAAAGUUAGGGGAUCGAAGACGAUCAGAUACCGUCGUAGUCUUAACCAUAAACUAUGCCGACUAGGAAUCAGACGAUGUUAAUUUUUUAAUGACUCGUUUGGCACCUUACG
rnacentral:misc_RNA from 1 species